rnacentral:rRNA from 1 species
GAAUUGAAGAGUUUGAUCAUGGCUCAGAUUGAACGCUGGCGGCAGGCCUAACACAUGCAAGUCGAACGGUAACAGGAAGAAGCUUGCUUCUUUGCUGACGAGUGGCGGACGGGUGAGUAAUGUCUGGGAAACUGCCUGAUGGAGGGGGAUAACUACUGGAAACGGUAGCUAAUACCGCAUAAUGUCGCAAGACCAAAGAGGGGGACCUUCGGGCCUCUUGCCAUCGGAUGUGCCCAGAUGGGAUUAGCUAGUAGGUGGGGUAACGGCUCACCUAGGCGACGAUCCCUAGCUGGUCUGAGAGGAUGACCAGCCACACUGGAACUGAGACACGGUCCAGACUCCUACGGGAGGCAGCAGUGGGGAAUAUUGCACAAUGGGCGCAAGCCUGAUGCAGCCAUGCCGCGUGUAUGAAGAAGGCCUUCGGGUUGUAAAGUACUUUCAGCGGGGAGGAAGGGAGUAAAGUUAAUACCUUUGCUCAUUGACGUUACCCGCAGAAGAAGCACCGGCUAACUCCGUGCCAGCAGCCGCGGUAAUACGGAGGGUGCAAGCGUUAAUCGGAAUUACUGGGCGUAAAGCGCACGCAGGCGGUUUGUUAAGUCAGAUGUGAAAUCCCCGGGCUCAACCUGGGAACUGCAUCUGAUACUGGCAAGCUUGAGUCUCGUAGAGGGGGGUAGAAUUCCAGGUGUAGCGGUGAAAUGCGUAGAGAUCUGGAGGAAUACCGGUGGCGAAGGCGGCCCCCUGGACGAAGACUGACGCUCAGGUGCGAAAGCGUGGGGAGCAAACAGGAUUAGAUACCCUGGUAGUCCACGCCGUAAACGAUGUCGACUUGGAGGUUGUGCCCUUGAGGCGUGGCUUCCGGAGCUAACGCGUUAAGUCGACCGCCUGGGGAGUACGGCCGCAAGGUUAAAACUCAAAUGAAUUGACGGGGGCCCGCACAAGCGGUGGAGCAUGUGGUUUAAUUCGAUGCAACGCGAAGAACCUUACCUGGUCUUGACAUCCACGGAAGUUUUCAGAGAUGAGAAUGUGCCUUCGGGAACCGUGAGACAGGUGCUGCAUGGCUGUCGUCAGCUCGUGUUGUGAAAUGUUGGGUUAAGUCCCGCAACGAGCGCAACCCUUAUCCUUUGUUGCCAGCGGUCCGGCCGGGAACUCAAAGGAGACUGCCAGUGAUAAACUGGAGGAAGGUGGGGAUGACGUCAAGUCAUCAUGGCCCUUACGACCAGGGCUACACACGUGCUACAAUGGCGCAUACAAAGAGAAGCGACCUCGCGAGAGCAAGCGGACCUCAUAAAGUGCGUCGUAGUCCGGAUUGGAGUCUGCAACUCGACUCCAUGAAGUCGGAAUCGCUAGUAAUCGUGGAUCAGAAUGCCACGGUGAAUACGUUCCCGGGCCUUGUACACACCGCCCGUCACACCAUGGGAGUGGGUUGCAAAAGAAGUAGGUAGCUUAACCUUCGGGAGGGCGCUUACCACUUUGUGAUUCAUGACUGGGGUGAAGUCGUAACAAGGUAACCGUAGGGGAACCUGCGGUUGGAUCACCUCCUUA